GAUGGAGAUGCCCUUAAAAUG
rnacentral:snRNA from 1 species